GAUGAACGCUGGCGGCGUGCCUAAUACAUGCAAGUCGAACGCACAGCGAAAGGUGCUUGCACCUUUCAAGUGAGUGGCGAACGGGUGAGUAACACGUGGACAACCUGCCUCAAGGCUGGGGAUAACAUUUGGAAACAGAUGCUAAUACCGAAUAAAACUCAGUGUCGCAUGACACAAAGUUAAAAGGCGCUUUGGCGUCACCUAGAGAUGGAUCCGCGGUGCAUUAGUUAGUUGGUGGAGUAAAGGCCUACCAAGACAAUGAUGCAUAGCCGGGUUUGGGGACCGACCGGCCACAUUGGGACUUAGGCACGGCCCAAACCCCUACGGGAGGCUUCAGUAGGGAAUCUUCCACCAUGGGCGAAAGCCUGAUGGAGCAACGCCGCGUGUGGGAUGAAGGCUUUUGGGUCGUAAAGCACUGUUGUAUGGGAAGAACAGCUAGAAUAGGGAAUGAUUUUAGUUUGACGGUACCAUACCAGAAAGGGACGGCUAAAUACGUGCCAGCCGCCGCCGUAA
rnacentral:rRNA from 1 species